rnacentral:misc_RNA from 1 species
GGAUGGAUCAUUAAAAUAAUGACCUUUGUCAUAAACCCUUUGUUGAACUCUGUUUCAUCACUCCCUUUUUUUUAGAUGCUUCGUGAACAAAUUUAAUCCUUGGUCAGUGAGAAGGCCUAUCGUGGUUAAAACCGUUCACAUUAUGGAGUGUCUUCUUGAAAAGGUUUCUCACAUUUUUAUUACCCCAUUUUUUUACAAACCCUUUUAACCAAAACAAUAACCUAUGAAUCCGUUUUGCUCUCGAAAGAGAACGAAACAUAUUUCUAAUAAGAAAUUUUCCGUACAAUUCUUAGCAACGGAUAUCUAGGCUCUCGUACCGAUGAAGACCGCAGCGAAAUGCGAUACGUAAUGCGAAUUGCAGAAUUCAGUGAGCGAUCAAAGUGUUGAACGUAACUUACGCCAUUGGGUAUCCCUGAUGGCAUACUUCUUUGAGUAUCGUUACACCUCUCUACCGGCCUCGUGCUUUUGGUAGGAUAAGGAGCUUUUUCUUCAGCGUAAAACCUGAAGUGGCUUUUGUACGAUACGACAGCAGACUGUUCAAGUCGCGGUGCUUGAUAAUAGACUAUUUCAGUCUACUCACAUUUAGCCCCGCCUCACUCUUUCUCGGAAGGGUUUGCUUGUUACUUGCUCAAUGUCAAAACAUGCUGUCAUCAAACAAUCGAGUUAUUGUGGGUGAUACCUGCUGAUACUGAUACUCGUAUCUAUUCUCAGCUUUCAUAUCAUCCCUUCUUUGUUCAUGAUCUCAGAUGAAGUAAGAGAACCCGCCGAAUUUAAGCAUAUUAUUAAGCGGAGGAAAAGAAACUAACAAGGAUUCCCCUAGUAACGGCGAGUGAAGCGGGAAGAGCUCAAAGUUAAAAUCGGUAUACCUAGCGGUAUCUCCGAAUUGUAAUCUAGAGACAUCCUAUCAGUCCCGACCCGGGUAUAAAUCUUUUGAAACAAGGUCUCAUAGAGGGUGAGAAGCCCGUCUUUGACUUGGAGUUCGGGACGUACGAGGGGUGUUCCAAGAGUCGAAUAGCUUGGGAAUGCUGUUCAAAAUGGGUGGUAAAUUUCAUCUAAAGCUAAAUAUCGACGAGAGACCGAUAGCGAACAAGUACCGUGAGGGAAAGAUGAAAAGAACUUUGAAAAGAGAGUUAAAAAGUACUUGAAAUUGUUAAGAAGGAAGCACUAAAAACCAGUCUUACUUUUUUUAUAUGGGCGCUACGUUGAUAAGAGGGCAAAUCGGGACUUCAACGCCUGACCAAACUUCAAACUCAGCGUAGCGUUCUCGUAGGGAGAGUGAGUCAAGAUCAGGUAUUUUCGCAGAAGAAAACUCGUUAAAGGUGCUCUUCUUCGGGAGAGACUAAUCUGGAGCGAGUCAAACUGUGGAGGUGCCUGAGGAACCACGAUAAUGCGCUCCGCAAGGCUGCUGGUGGUUGUUCCUAGCGAUCUGUGCGCGUGAAGCAUAAAUGCUGUAGCGUUCGCAGGUUGUUACUGGGUGAUCACUUGACCGCGCAUUCGCGAUCUUGACGAAAUGGUUUUUAUUGACCCGUCUUGAAACACGGACCAAGGAGUCUAACAUAUAUGCGAGUAUUUGGGCCUGAAAACCCUGAUGCGCAAUGAAAGUGAAGCUAAACUCUGUUUAGUGAGGUAGGAACCGCAAGGGGCACUAUCGACCGAUCGUUCAUUCAUGAAAGAUUUGAGUAAGAGCAUAUCUGUUGGGACCCGAAAGAUGGUGAACUAUGCCUGAUCAGGGUGAAGCCAGGGGAAACUAUGGUGGAGGCUCGUAGCGAUACUGACGUGCAAAUCGUUCGUCUGAAUUGGGUAUAGGGGCGAAAGACUAAUCGAACUAUCUGGUUGCUGGUUCCCGC